GUGCUAAUCUGCGAUAAGCGCCGGUAAGGUGAUAUGAACCGUUAUAACCGGCGAUACCCGAAUGGGGAAACCCAGUGUGAUUCGUCACACUAUCAUUAACUGAAUCCAUAGGUUAAUGAGGCGAACCGGGGGAACUGAAACAUCUAAGUACCCCGAGGAAAAGAAAUCAACCGAGAUUCCCCCAGUAGCGGCGAGCGAACGGGGAGGAGCCCAGAGCCUGAAUCAGCAUGUGUGUUAGUGGAAGCGUCUGGAAAGGCGCGCGAUACAGGGUGACAGCCCCGUACACAAAAGCGCAUGUGCUGUGAGCUCGAUGAGUAGGGCGGGACACGUGGUAUCCUGUCUGAAUAUGGGGGGACCAUCCUCCAAGGCUAAAUACUCCUGACUGACCGAUAGUGAACCAGUACCGUGAGGGAAAGGCGAAAAGAACCCCGGCGAGGGGAGUGAAAAAGAACCUGAAACCGUGUACGUACAAGCAGUGGGAGCACAGGUUUACCUGUGUGACUGCGUACCUUUUGUAUAAUGGGUCAGCGACUUAUAUUCUGUAGCAAGGUUAACCGAAUAGGGGAGC
rnacentral:rRNA from 1 species